rnacentral:rRNA from 1 species
UACGAAGGGGGCUAGCGUUGUUCGGAAUUACUGGGCGUAAAGCGCACGUAGGCGGAUACUUAAGUCAGGGGUGAAAUCCCGGGGCUCAACCCCGGAACUGCCUUUGAUACUGGGUAUCUCGAGUCCGGAAGAGGUGAGUGGAAUUCCGAGUGUAGAGGUGAAAUUCGUAGAUAUUCGGAGGAACACCAGUGGCGAAGGCGGCUCACUGGUCCGGUACUGACGCUGAGGCGCGAAAGCGUGGGGAGCAAACAGG